GAAGAGAGGAUUCUGUAGUCUGGAGAACAAAGUCCAGGUUUUCCUCGGGAGGAGUCACAUCCUUAUUUCCUGUUAUCGCAGCAGCUGGAAAGCCAUCCCAGGGGGUUGGAGUUUCACUUGAGCUCUCAAAAAUGUCAAAGUCAAAAAUUUCCAAGAUGAGAUGCAUUCUUAUGGGAAUGAAGAAUUGCCAAACGCAGUGUGUCCCCGGGUAGUAGUUGUUUGGAAACCCUGGUGAUAAAAUCAGGCCUCUUUCCAUUGACUCCACCACCGCGCCACAGGAAUAAUAGACCUGGGAAAUAAAACAAAUACACUUUACUUCUUGCCAAAGACAACAUACAGGACGCAGCAUGCUGGACCUACGGAAGAUCCUACCCCUUCCCUUUAGUGACUGGUGUAGACUUCUACAGGCUUCAUGAAUUCCGAGUUCCUGAGGCUAUCUUCUGCUUGCACAUUCAGAGCCUUAAUCUCUAAUACGGACAACCAGUCUCAGACUGUGAGAGCGCAUACUGAGCACACAGCUUCUCAGGAAAUAUAAUCCAGAUGAGCAAUUCACACAGUGUUCAUUUCCUAUCCCUAUUUCAAUUAUAAUAGCAUCCCUUUCUGCUCUUGGCUGAUGCACGUUCCCAGGUUACUGAAUCCUGAAUACAUUCGUUGUUGACACACAACUCUUUGCUGCACAAAUGUGUCAUCCUAAACAGCUUGUAGUGUGAUAAAAACCUUAAGCUGAAGAAAAACUGUGUCACUACAGCAUCUUGAAUUCUAUGUUAUUUUCAUUACAAAACACUUUUUUAAGUGCAACAAGGCCCUCGCACUGAUGAUUAUCCAUGAAUCAUCUAAACAACUUAUCUUGGUUUCAGAGACGGUUGGGACUUAUUUACUUCAGUAAUACAGGCGGUUUUGAUUGGGUACAUUUUCUCUUGAAAUGCAAAGGCUCUGGAAAUAGUGCCAGCAGAUACCCGCUCACACCGGUAGGCCAGCAAUCUGCAAGCAUUUUGCAUAACAGUGACAGUUCCGUUUGAAAUUCAUUUCUUCUUUCUCUAUAAAUAGCCUUCACAGUCUCCCGAAAAGGAAGAAAUGGGUGCACUGCCAACCAUUCCGCUUCUUUAAAGAUACCAAGAAGGCAGUUGGAGGUGUUUGCAGCCCCACCUCUCCUACCAGAACUCUGCUAAUGUCUAAAAGCAGCAGCCGUCAGCUCAGCAGCUCUCACACUGAAUGGCACACAGGCACGAGGUGGGGAGAAACGACUCCACUGCUUCAGGACAUCAGGACAGAACUGCUUCCCACACUGCCUGAACUCCAAGCCCUGCUCGCAGUACCUAGCUGCCAAGGCUUCCAUUCUUCCUUCCUGGAUCUUCCUCCUGGAUAAACAAGCCACCUGUCCGCACAUUUUGUUCCAUCUGAUACAGACGUACAGGAGGAAACACCAUUCACCUUAUCUUCAAAUUAUCUCUCGUUUGCUCUCACUCUGAUUCUUAUGUUGCUGCAGUCCUUAGUUUGGGGGUUCCAAAGCAGGCUCUGUUUUGCUACAAAACCUAUUUCAGCAUCCACACAACCCUACAACAUCCCCACAGCCUCAGCUCUGACUGGCACAGACCACCUCCCUGGAUGCCCAGCUCAGCCCGCCAUCCCUCACACACACAGUGCCCGUUCCAAGGAGUCUGCUGUGGUUUUCAUACUGCUAAUUCCACGCAGGCAGAUAAUUCAUUUCUCAUUUUUGCUAAAUCGAACCAGAUUUGAACAAACCAUUUAGAGGAUUUUUUCCUAGCAUAGCAACACUAUCAGAAGGCAGCCAAAACAGAUAAAAAUAAUGAAGCCUACACAGACCUUGACGAGCGAGGAACAAGUACAACUUAAUCAAAAGAAUAACAAAACCAGGGAGCAAGAGAUGUGUGCGUGUGUCUACAUGCAUGAAUUUCACUGUCACAUUUAGGCAGAUAAGCUAUAGAAAAUGCCUAGGUUUUAUUCUGCAAAAGAAAUUGUCCUGCAUGUUUAAAGACUACAGGCAGUGUGCAAUCACAUGAAUAGCUGACAUGAGAAUAAGUCAUGCCUGGGAAAGUAAGGGGGAGGCUGCUGCUGCUUCCUUAGGGAGGCACUUCUGCUGUGGUACCCGUGGUCAGUGCUUAACUGGGAAGGUAAAUGGUCCUGGCUUCAGAACCAGAGAUCAACAGGAGCUGGCUGGGAAAGACAGGAAAAAGACAGAUGGAACAAAGUGAUGCAGGGUUUGCUGAUGCACACGGUGUCACACCGUUGAACUCAAACCCAAAGACACACGACAGCAAAUAUUUGUUCCGUCUCAUGACUGUCCAGGCAAAAUUAGAACGAAGCACAGGAAGGAUGUAACAACUUCGGGCAGGGAGCAGUUAUGCAGUGUAAGUGUGCAGCUGGGUGCGGGAGUUGUUCACCCUCAGAAACAAGCCCGAGGGAAGGGUAAGUUUCCAGGUUACAUGUUGCAGUUCUGAGUUAAAAGAGAGACUAAAGACAAAAACCCACAGCCGUACAAUUCAAUAGAUUAAAGCGUGCACCUUUGUGAAGUUGGUACUCAGUACUUCAGAAUCAAGAUCAUGGCUUAAGUAAGAAGUUCUCGGUAGCUAUCUUCACGUGAGUGAGAUAAAACAUCUUCAUUUCAGCCACAAAGUCACUGCUGUGCUGGUAUGUGCUGUGGCAGGCUGAAUCAUACCAUGCCGCUUUCCCCCCGUAAAGCAAUCCCCCACAUUUCUUUGAUAUAU